rnacentral:misc_RNA from 1 species
GUUCAGGUAUCUUUUCCUUAGUUGCCUUCUUGGAAGCAUUUACCCUCUUCCGCUUGGCUGCAGCUGCGCUAGCAGCAUUAGAGGGGCCUGAAUCAGCAACUUUGUCCCCGUUGUCAGGCUUAUUGAUGAUGAAAACUUCUGUUGUUACAGCAUUCAUAUUGAACUCAACCAUGCGGCGUAAAUCUUUGUCAGUUGAUACUGUGAUAAGAGUUCGUUUAUUGUUGGCGAGGAAGUACUUGAUAAUCAUGUUGCUCAUAUCAAUGUUGUACAGACCGGUCAGUUCUGCCUUAAAAUCAUCGAACCGCAUAUCAAGACUAAUGUCAACUAUAUGAGCAUCCCCACCAGUAUAGGACAUGGAACCAUCAGGACUAGUAAUGAAUUCACCGCCAUACUGGCAAAUUGCCACAAUUCGCCCAUCGACCAUGGUGUACUAGCAAAAACCUGAAUGUCG